AGAACUUCCAAACGCCUGAACCGCAGCAGCCAGGCAUUCCUCCAGAACCUCCUCUCCCAGGAGCUUGCUACAAGUGUGGGAAAUCUGGCCACCGGGCCAAGGAAUGCCCAGAGCCCGGGAUUCCUCCUAAGCCGCCUCCCAUCUGUGUAGGACCCCACUGAAAAUCGGACUGUUCAACUCACCUGGCAGCCACUCCCAGAGCCCCUGGAACUCUGGCCCAAGGCUCUCUGACUGACUCCUUCCCAGAUCUUCUCGGUUUAGCAGCUGAAGACUGACACUGCCCGAUCGCCUCGGAAGCCCCCUAGACCAUCAUGGACACCGAGAUUCAGAGAUUCAUUAAGUUUAAGUGGUCUCUUGUCGAUUGCAAAUAUCCUGGGAGUUGCAUCGUCAUCUGUAUCUUCCUCCUCCAGGACUUGGACUGUGCACCAACUAGAUGCUGAAGGCUAUAACUGCAGCCCUAAUAAACAACUUUGAAAAUUGUGGCAGACCUUAUUAAAAAAGGGGAGCAGGAGCCACGGUAGCUCAGGCUGGUUGCCCUGGCACUCAGGGAGGGUUCCUCCAAAUCUCUCUCCAAAUAUUUGUUAUCUACUCAUUCAAUACCCUUCUUCAACCAUCCUCUUGCUUUGGAAUUGACAUGAACCAACUAGGCCCGCCUUAUUGGUAGGAAUUCAUUUGCCCUGCCUGCCAGCCCCCAUAGAGACAGAACCAUUGCCUAGUGAAAGAAGAUUUUAAUGACGUGAUGAAAAUAUUUUAGAAAGCACCUUGAAGAUUAGUAUUUUUAUGUAACUUCUGUUGGAGAGAUGUCUUCAGGAGACUGAAGUAGAAGAGCGACUGUCAAAAUGGAAAGUCCCAGAGACAUCCAAUUUAUGUAAAUCAACAUCACCUGAAUUCAGAAUCUCAUCCAGAUUUCAACAAAGACUUCUGAAUGCCAACAAAGAAGAGGACUGAAUUUACAGACUCUCACUCUAACAAUAUAUGCUGUUCAAUUUGAAAACAGAAUAAAAUUAUUUUGGCAGAAACUGAUUUUUAAUGACAUAUAUUGUUUAAAUGUACAACUUUUUAUUUUUACACAUUUGUGGUAAAAACAGUGAAUAAGGAAAAGCAAAGGAAAUAUAUCAAUAUGGAAGUUUUACUUAAUUUGUUCAUAAACUAACCAGAGGCAAACAAUUUUAGUACUUCACUUAUUUUUUGUAUUAUGUUGAUUUUGUGUUUGAUAUGGCCAAAAAUACCUUUCUGAUCAAAAUUAUAUAUUGAUAGAAAUGACUUAUGUAGGCAAAGUUUUCAUUUUUACUGUUACAGACAGUGUGUUUGUAUAUUUUUACAUGCUGUUCAAUAAUUUUUAGCCAUGUUGAUCUCAAUUUCAUUUGACUCUUUUAGUAGUGUCCACCAUCAUUUCAGACUAUUGAAUAUAUAAGAGACUCCUGAGUAUAAAAGUCCUUGCCCAAAUAAGAAAAGGUUGUGGAACAGAAGAGAGAAAAACACAUUUGUGUGCACUCAAUCAUCUCUUCUUCUUUCGACUCUUUUAAUACUGAUAUAACCACUAUUUUUAACCCUUAAUGGAUAUGCAAGCAGAACCAUUUUCCUACUUGUUACGCUACCAUUUUUGUCUCUUCCUGAACCAUAGGAGCUAGGGAUUUAGAUGCCAUGUAAGUGACAACAUGAGUGCAGAAGACACACCCUGGGAACCAGCACAGGUGUGUAGACAACACAGAUUAAUCUCAGGUACCUGUUAGACAGAGGUGUUCUCUCCACACAUCUGAUCUGAAUCGUGCUGAGUUCUUGUAUACUACCUUGAUGGCUUCCUGAUACAUUGGCAUUUGGGAUGCGAAAAGUUUUUUUGUGUCGUCGUGAACAGCAGGUGCUGGUGACUCCUUGUUGUGAAGACAGUGAAGGACUGUGACUUGAAGGACGAUUAACAGUUGCAACUUCCAUGCAGCUUUCUUCAAAGACUUGUUCGUCCACAAACUCGUGAUUCUGUUCCACAGUUGUAAGUAAAUGAAGAAACAGAGAAGCACAUUUUUAAAAACGAAAUACAUAGCUUUAUUUUUAAAGCUCAAAUCUGCCCAAGUAUAGUUAGACUUGAUACAAUGGUUAAAUAAAACCAUUUUCAUAAAGAUUGACAUCAAAACCACUUCUUUUUGGCAUUUAUGUGGAACUAUCUCUGUAGUUAAACCUAGAGAUUGACAUCUGUAGGCUGAUUUAGUGUCCCUUUAUAGACUAACUUUAUCUUGAAAUAUCAUUUAUUUAUUUAAACAUAAAAUCUGGAAGGUAUAUGAUAAGGAAAAAAAAAACCUAAAAAAUGCAUAUAGAUAAAACCCACAGGGAAAUUAGAAAUUCCCACUGACUUUAUUUUUUAAAAAGGUUGAAGUUAUGGAAAAUAGAUUAUUUUAAUAGGAUGCCCCAAGUUAGAUUGUCUGUUAUAUAUUAGCAAAUCUUUUCACAUGGGAGUGAAAACAUUUCUAAAUUAGAAAAUGAGACCCCUAAGACACUAUCCAUUUCUUUAUAUGUUCCUCUAAAAAUGCCCAGUACAGAAAAAUAUGACUUAUUCGUUACAUAAGUAAAAUAUAAUUGUCUGCCGAAUGUGUCACUCUGUGUUCGACCCAGAAGGGAUUAGCAUUGAACUUUUGUGGCCUUUUUUGUAAUCUUCGUAAUACAUCACUGGCAUCACUGGCUGUACUCAUGAUCUCUGUAUGCAUUUGGGGUUUUUCCGUCACUAUUUCCUAACUUCCAGCCCAGUAGCAAAUAGCAAUAGGCAUCAUUUCGCAUAUCGUAUUUUAUAGAAACAUGGUAUCAAUUUUGCUUUUAAAAUGUUUGACAAAAAACCUCCUGAAAUGCCUAUGGAAGAAUUUCACCUCAGAAAUAUAAAGGAAAACAUUUUUGGUCUGAACUACUAGAGAAUGACCUCAAUUACUAUUUUGUUUUUCUUUGCAUGGGUGGGGAUAGUCUUAUAAUGGAAGGCUUUGCACAUACCAAAUUCCACUUAACCAUCUCUCAUCCUAAAAUAUGAGUAAAACAAUUGAAGCAAGACACUGGCUAAUAAGAAAUAGAUUAUGUUUUAGCUACUCGUUUUGUCAUUUCUUUGCUGAGACAAGCAUUUUGAAAUAAAUGAAAUUUAACAUUCUACUCUUUAAAGUCUAGAGAAUAAUAUAAUCAGACAAGACAGAAUUUCAAAGAAAUAUUUGAAAUUAAUAUUUCAAAUAUUAAAUUUCAAAGAAAAAAUGGUGCACAAAAGAUUCACAAUCUGUUUCCUUCUCUUACAAUGCAUGGUUUCACAUACCUAAGUUAUAAUGCAUGAGAUUCUAAUUUGUCUCAUCAGUGAUUGAAAGUGCAGGAGUCAUUCUGUUAUUAGUUACUACAUACUUUUGUAGGUAGCAUAAUUUAUAUUAGUUGGUGUUAGUGAUUUUUGAUUUUAAAAAAAGCCCUCAAAAAAGGAAAAUACAGGGAACAGAAAAGAUAGGAAUAAAAAUAUUUUAUUUAUUUAUUUAUUUAUUGAGACAGAGUCUAGCUCUUUUUGCCCAGGCUGGAGUGCAGUGACACUAUCUUAGCUCACUGCAACCUCUGCCUCCUGGGUUCAAGCAAUUCUCCUGCCUCAGCCUCCCGAGUAGCUGGGAAUACAGGCUCCCGCCACCAUGUCUGGCUAAUUUUUUUGUAUUUUUAGUAGAGACGAGGUUUCACCAUGUUGGUCAGGCUGGACUUGAACUCCUGACCUCAGUUGACCCGCCCACCUUGGCCUUCCAAAGUGCUGGGAUUACAGACGUGAGCCACUGCGCCUGGCCAACAUUUUAUUAUUAAUGUAUCAUUUAACUUUCAAAUUUAUCCUACUAGGUUACAGACCUGUCCAUAUCUUUAUUUAAAAAUGCAAGUAUAAUCAUGUUACUACCUUGUUUAAAACAUUUAAAUGAUUUCCAUGAACUAAAGAUCAAAAUUGUCCACAUGGCUGCAAAGCCUAACAUUAUCUGGACACUGCCUUUCCCUUCAGCUCCUCUUUUGCCAUGCUACACUCUCUUCUUCUGACCACUCUUAAAUUAUUUCACUUCCUCCUAGGCUGAGUUCUUUCCUUCUUCAGGUACUUGUAUCACCUGUUAGCCCCUUCAUUGCUCUGCCUAGCUAACUCCUAGUCACCCUGCAGGUCUCCACUCAAGUUCCUCCAGGAAGCCUUGCCUGACCUGUCCCCUCAUGGCUCUGCCCUCUUUACUCUCUUGACUGUGGCACCGUUGUUGCUUUCCAUGUUCGCUGCUCUUUUCCAGUAACAGCCCUGUCUGGGAUUUUGUUUUAUAAACAGAGGCUAAAUGGUAGCAGAGGCCACACCUCAUUUCAUGGCGUUUCUUGGGUCUGGCUCACUCUUGGGCACAUAAUAGGCAAGUAGUAAAUAUUUGCUGAAUGACUCUAUUGGUAAAUAAGUACAUGAACAGGCAAUACUUUGGAACUGAGAAUACAAAUCAUGUGUCACCCGAGAGUGAGUGAGCUGACAUGAUCCAAAUAUGGUGAAGAUUUUGUUCUGCUCUGUGAUUAUCAUAGAUUAUGACUCCUAUUUACAAACUGGUUAAGAAAUUGGUAGAUUUGCCAAUGAGGAGGUCCAAACAAGAGCUUGUAAGUGGAGAAAUACAGACUCACUCCUUAGCACCCAAGGGCAUACCAGUGAUUACAUGAGUCAUUUUUCUAAUGAGAAUAGUUUCUAUUAUCUAUCUCUAUUCAUUAUGGUUGUGAAUGAAACAAAUGCUUAUAUUCCAUUGUUCUCUGUUUUUUGUUAUUGCUAUUGCUAUUCUCUUGAUCUAGAUGCUAGGGACCCUCGAGCACCAUUAAUUUUUUUCUGUCUAAUUCGCAUUUUAAGAAUCACAGAAAAUGAUAUUGUGUAGGAUUUACUAUUGGAAGACCACUCUUCAUCUGCAUUAACUGACUUCUUAGACUAGAGUUAAGACAGCAGCUAAGAAUAAAACAUUUUAAAUAAGUUUCUAAAAUACUUUCCAAAUUGAAAUGUCAUUACAUCUUUCAAAGUAAUUUCAAAUAUUGUGGGGUUUUGGUUUGUUUGUUUUUUAGCAUGUUUUCCAGUAAUGCAGACAGUGAAAUCACACUCGGAAGCAUUAAGUAUGCACAAAAGCAAAUGGAAUUACUGUCAGAGAGCAAGGGAAGGCAGUCAUGCUGUCUCCUUACCGUGGUUUUUUCCAGGCAGUGAAGCAGGUGGUGGUGCUGGGUUUCAAAGCUGGAGCCGG
rnacentral:lncRNA from 1 species